rnacentral:lncRNA from 1 species
UCAAAUACCUUUUUAGUUGUAUUUGUAACGAUAAAAGUUUAUGAGGGUACAAUAAAGAUGUUGCCGUCAAAAAUACCAAAAAUAGUACUUUCAUUCCACUUAAUUUUUUUAUUUUUAUUUUUUAUAAAUUCUACCUUAAUGAUGAUAGAAAAAUAUUAUUUAUUUUUUUAAUAUUAUAAUGAACUUUUGUUUUAUUUUAAACUGAUUUAUUCAUUUUAUUUAUUAGGUUUAAAUACUUUUAGAAAGAAAUAUAUUUUAAUUUUAUUUUUUAAUUUAUUCUUUAAUUUUUAAUUAUUUCAUACUGAGAUAAAUAAUAUUUAAAAAUAUUAAUGUAUAAUAGAAAAAAAUAAUGUUAGUAAUUAUAAUAAUUUACUAUUAUAUUAU